CACCCUGGGUCACGCCCCCUUUUGUCCCACCCUCACCUGUGUGCUGUUAAGAGGGAGGGUGAGGCAGGGAACAUGGCACUGAUGAUGGCUUGGUCGAUGAGACAGGGCCCUGCCUUUUUAGCUUUAACCUCCACUCUCACCCUUUUGCCUUCUCUCUGCGGGGGUUGUAGGCCUGGUUUUUGUGUUUGUGGUCAUUGCAGACUUGAGCAUUCUGCAGAUGUUCAUAUUCUACAGCUGCAAUUCUCCCAGAAAUCAAUGACUGAUACAAGGUAGGAAAGGCUGGCUUGUUGUCUACAGAGAGGCCCAAUCUGUGCUCCCAAGCUCCCGUGGGACCAGGCUGAAACUGAGACCCCCACUGUGCUGAAGCUCCCUUUCUCUGCGGUCUCCUGCUGGCUUCUCUCCUCCUCUGAGAGCAUUUUCUCAAUAAACGAUUUUCACGAGAA